rnacentral:rRNA from 1 species
UACAGGGGGGGCAAGCGUUGUUCGGAAUUACUGGGCGUAAAGGGCUCGUAGGUGGCCAACUAAGUCAGACGUGAAAUCCCUCAGCUUAACUGGGGAACUGCGUCCGAUACUGGAUGGCUUGAGUUUGGGAGAGGGAUGCGGAAUUCCAGGUGUAGCGGUGAAAUGCGUAGAUAUCUGGAGGAACACCGGUGGCGAAGGCGGCAUCCUGGACCAAUACUGACACUGAGGAGCGAAAGCCAGGGGAGCAAACGGG